rnacentral:rRNA from 1 species
CCUACGGGUGGCUGCAGUCGAGAAUCUUCGGCAAUGGGCGCAAGCCUGACCGAGCGACGCCGCGUGCGGGAUGAAGGCCUUCGGGUUGUAAACCGCUGUCUGGGGAGCGCCCGAUCCUAGGAGGAAGGGCCGGCUAAUCUCGUGCCAGCAGCCGCGGUAAUACGAGAGGCCCAAACGUUAUUCGGAAUUACUGGGCUUAAAGAGUUCGUAGGCGGCGCAGAAAGUAGGGUGUGAAAGCCCUCGGCUCAACCGAGGAAUUGCGCUCUAAACUACUGUGCUUGAGGAAGCUAGAGGUGAGCAGAACUGAUGGUGGAGCGGUGAAAUGCGUUGAUAUCAUCAGGAAUACCGGAGGCGAAGGCGGCUCACUGGGCUUUCUGACGCUGAGGAACGAAAGCCAGGGUAGCGAACGGGAUUAGAUACCCGAGUAGUC